rnacentral:rRNA from 1 species
GACGAACGCUGGCGGCGUGCUUAACACAUGCAAGUCGAACGGAAAGGCCCUGCUUUUGUGGGGUGCUCGAGUGGCGAACGGGUGAGUAACACGUGAGUAACCUGCCCUUGACUUUGGGAUAACUUCAGGAAACUGGGGCUAAUACCGGAUAGGAGCUCCUGCUGCAUGGUGGGGGUUGGAAAGUUUCGGCGGUUGGGGAUGGACUCGCGGCUUAUCAGCUUGUUGGUGGGGUAGUGGCUUACCAAGGCUUUGACGGGUAGCCGGCCUGAGAGGGUGACCGGCCACAAUGGGACUGAGAGACGGCGCAGACGCCUACGGGAGGCAGCAGUGGGGAAUAUUGCACAAUGGGGGGAAGCCUGAUGCAGCAACGCCGCGUGCGGGAUGACGGCCUUCGGGUUGUAAACCGCUUUCGCCUGUGACGAAGCGUGAGUGACGGUAAUGGGUAAAGAAGCACCGGCUAACUACGUG